rnacentral:tRNA from 2 species
GCGGGAGUAACUCAGUGGUAGAGUGUCAGCUUCCCAAGCUGAAGGUCGCGGGUUCAAGUCCCGUUUCCCGCUCCA